rnacentral:tmRNA from 1 species
GGGGCUGUCAUGGUUUCGACAGGUUUAUGUUUGAUUUGAGCUGCAGUGGAGCGGUGACCUAAUCACCAUUAAAUUUAAACGCAAAUAGAACAAAUAGUUUCGCUUUUGCUGCCUAAGAACGCUAGAGGCGUUGCAGCAAUCCAAUCAGUGCUUUAGCCAUUUGACAUUGAUUGCGUACUAAAAUGGAUACGGUGAAUUCAAAACUUGUAGGAGGAUCCCGACAAUUUAACAAGUAAAUUCAAUAACACGUUAGCUCACUGACAUUGUUAUUGUCUUAUCCAACAGUGAGAUAAACUGUAGAUGCUCAAAUGUGGGACUAUUCUUGGACAGGGGUUCGACUCCCCUCAGCUCCACU